rnacentral:lncRNA from 1 species
GAAGAAUCCGGAAGAAAGGUCGGCAGCUCCAUGAACUGCCAGUCCCACUCCUGUGGUUCAUACCCACAGCUGUAACCUAUCUAGUUUUAUUUUUCUCAGAUCUCACGAGAUACCAAGCCAAUUCUGAGAAGUACUCCAGUGUGUGUAAAAGAUAAUGCUGAAUGGAGUCUUUUCGAUGAGCGAGUCCGUAUCUGCCAGUUCCUGGGCCACAGAUGUCUUGAAAAGGAAACAGCUGAAUAAUUCAUUUUCUAAUAAUGAACUGUGGAGCAACUUGAAAUCUAAGACCAAGGAGAGAAAUCACAGUUCCCAAAGGAAAGGAAAAGGCUUGCAGGCUAUACCAGGUGUCAUGAUGGUCUGGCCUCUGCUUCUGUGAGGUCCAUACCCAGUGACUCAGGCAAUAGAAGAAAUUGGGAGAAAAAAACAAAUAAACGUGUG